rnacentral:tRNA from 1 species
GGGGGUAUAGCUCAGUGGUAGAGCAUGUGCUUACCGUGUGUGAGGUCCAGGGUUCAAUCCCCAGUACUUCCA